rnacentral:rRNA from 1 species
CCCUUAGAUGUUCUGGGCUGCACGCGCGCUACACUGACGCACGCAACAGGUGCCUGCUCCGAGAGGACUGGGUAAUCAUUUGAGUGUGCGUCGUGAUGGGGAUAGAAUAUUGUAAUUAUUACUCUUCAACGAGGAAUUCUUAGUAAGCGCCAGUCAGCAGCUUGCGCUGAUUACGUCCCUGCCCUUUGUACACACCGCCCGUCGCUCCUACCGAUGGGUGAUCCGGUGAAUGAUUCGGACUUCAGCGGCUCCCCUGGGGUGCGCCGGAGAAAGUUUUGUGAACCUUAUCACUUGGAGGAAGGAGAAGUCGUAACA